UUGAUAAGCAUGCUAUCGCUUAUCAAUGUGCGGUCAGUGUCAACAAGUGCUUGGCAAAAUUGAAAUGAAAGUUAUUCGAUCAUAUUUUGGUUCCCUCUGUGUGUACUGACACAAAACAAACGAGUGGUCCUUGUAUAGGGUUCGGCACACUUUUUAUUGCCAGACUGCAGCGCAGCUGUGUUAUACAUAUUUGGCGACCGGAUGCACAUUCGCUGAAGUGCAUUACACAUUUCGAAUUGGUGCGAGUACAAUAGCUGAAUUUGUUCGUGAAUUAUUUGGCAAUAUGGUUGCUGUUGAAAGAAUCUUGUUUAUCGAAGCCGUCUCAACAAGGAUGGCUAGAUAUUGCAAAGGGUUUCUCAACAAGAGCUAAUUUUCCGUAUUGCAUUGGGGCUAUAGAUGGAAAACACAUACGGGUAAUAAAACCGUGUCAUAGUGGAUCCAUGUACUACAAUUAUAAGCAGUUUUUUUUCCAUUAUACUGAUGGCUAUAUGCGACAGCAAUUACAAAUUCAUAACAAUAGAUGUCGGCGCUUGUGGCAAAUUUAGAGACUCAACAGUUUAUCAACACUCUAACUUUUACAAAAAAAUGAUAGCUGGAGAACUUGAGAUACCAGAACCAACACCCAUAUAACAAGUAAAUACUAUUCCAAUACCAUAUGUUUUAGUAGGCGAUGAGGCGUUUCCCUUAUCCACGUACUUAAUGCGACCUUAUGCAAAACCAAAAAAUACUAAUUUAAAUACUACUAAGAGAAUAUUUAACUAUCGGCAAUGUAGGGCACGGCGAUAUAUCGAAUGCUCGUUUGGAAUACUGAGCAAUAAGUGGCGUAUAUUCCAUAGACCUUUAAAUGUGGAUAUUAGCUUGGCUACUGAUAUCAUCAAAGCAUGUUGCAUUUUGCUUAACUACGUUCGAGAUAGAGACGGUUAUAACUAUGAAGAUACUUUAAAAUGUUAUAUGCCGCCUGAUGUACCAGAAACUCAGAGAACAUGUAAUCGAAUAGGUAAUAAUACCGCUGAAAGAAUUCGUGACUCUUUCGCUCAGUAUUUUGAACACGAAGGAAAACUGGAAUGGCAAGAUAAAUAUAUAUAUGUAAAUAUAAUGCGCAUUGAUCCGCAAAUCGCAGGAAAUUAGGAAUAAAAAGUAUGAUGAUUGUAUCCUUUAAACCAUGAUAAAUAAAUAACGUAACUUA